AUUGAACGCUGGCGGCAGGCCUAACACAUGCAAGUCGAGCGGAGCGGCGGACGGGUGAGUAAUGACUAGGAAUCUGCCUGGUAGUGGGGGAUAACGUCCGGAAACGGGCGCUAAUACCGCAUACUAUCAGAUGAGCCUAGGCCGGAUUAGCUAGUGUGUGGGGUAAAGGCAUACCACGGCGACGAUCCGUAAAUGGUCUGAGAGGAUGAGCAGUCACACUGGAAUUGAGACACGGUCCAGACUCCUACGGGAGGCAGCAGUGGGGAAUAUUGGACAAUGGGCGAAAGCCUGAUCCAGCCAUGCCGCGUGUGUGAAGAAGGUCUUCGGAUUGUAAAGCACUUUAAGCUGGGAGGCGUUACCAACAGAAUAAGCACCGGCUAACUUCGUGCCAGCCGCCGCGGUAAUUC
rnacentral:rRNA from 1 species